rnacentral:rRNA from 1 species
AUUGAACGCUGGCGGCAGGCCUAACACAUGCAAGUCGAACGGUAGCACAGAGAGCUUGCUCUCGGGUGACGAGUGGCGGACGGGUGAGUAAUGUCUGGGAAACUGCCUGAUGGAGGGGGAUAACUACUGGAAACGGUAGCUAAUACCGCAUAACGUCGCAAGACCAAAGAGGGGGACCUUCGGGCCUCUUGCCAUCAGAUGUGCCCAGAUGGGAUUAGCUAGUAGGUGGGGUAACGGCUCACCUAGGCGACGAUCCCUAGCUGGUCUGAGAGGAUGACCAGCCACACUGGAACUGAGACACGGUCCAGACUCUUACGGGAGGCAGCAGUGGGGAAUAUUGCACAAUGGGCGCAAGCCUGAUGCAGCCAUGCCGCGUGUAUGAAGAAGGCCUUCGGGUUGUAAAGUACUUUCAGCGGGGAGGAAGGUGUUGUGGUUAAUAACCACAGCAAUUGACGUACC